rnacentral:rRNA from 1 species
GGCAUGGGGAGCUGAUCAGCCCUACCGCGUGGGUGAGAAGGCCUUCGGGUUGUAAAGCCCUUUUGUUGGGAAAGAAAUCCAGCUGGCUAAUACCCGGUUGGGAUGACGGUACCCAAAGAAUAAGCACCGGCUAACUUCGUGCCAGCAGCCGCGGUAAUACGAAGGGUGCAAGCGUUACUCGGAAUUACUGGGCGUAAAGCGUGCGUAGGUGGUCGUUUAAGUCCGUUGUGAAAGCCCUGGGCUCAACCUGGGAACUGCAGUGGAUACUGGGCGACUAGAGUGUGGUAGAGGGUAGCGGAAUUCCUGGUGUAGCAGUGAAAUGCGUAGAGAUCAGGAGGAACAUCCAUGGCGAAGGCAGCUACCUGGACCAACACUGACACUGAGGCACGAAAGCGUGGGGAGCAAACAGGAUUAGAUACCCUGGUAGUCCACGCCCUAAACGAUGCGAACUGGAUGUUGGGUGCAAUUUGGCACGCAGUAUCGAAGCUAACGCGUUAAGUUCGCCGCCUGGGGAGUACGGUCGCAAGACUGAAACUCAAAGGAAUGGACGGA